GUGGGGAAUAUUGCACAAUGGGCGAAAGCCUGAUGCAGCGACGCCGCGUGGAGGAUGAAGGUUUUCGGAUUGUAAACUCCUGUUAAGUGGGAAGAAAGACUCAUACCUAAUACGUAUGGGGGAUGACGGUACCACUAGAGAAAGCACCGGCAAACUUCGUGCCAGCAGCCGCGGUAAUACGAAGGGUGCUAGCGUUAUUCGGAAUGACUGGGCGUAAAGAGCGUACAGGCGGUUUGUUAAGUCAACUGUUAAAUCACUCAGCUUAACUGGGUAUCUGCAGAUGAAACUGGCGAACUAGAGUGCAGGAGAGAAAGGUAGAAUUCUCGGAGUAGCGGUAAAAUGCGUAGAUCUCGAGAGGAAUACCGGUUGCGAAGGCGGCCUUUUGGCCUGUUACUGACGCUAAAGCGCGAAAGCGUGGGGAGCAAACAGGAUUAGAUACCCGGGUAGUCC
rnacentral:rRNA from 1 species